rnacentral:rRNA from 1 species
AUGGCGCCUAUUCACGUCUCCUCCUCGGAGGUCAUCCUCCUGGACGACAGCGACGACGAGGAGCUGCUUGGUAUGAACAUCGCUGACGUGACCUCGCUUGACGACCUUGACUUCUCCGACGACGGCCCCGGCAACAAGAAGACAUGUGCUGUGGACAAUACCUCCUUUCAAGAUGCUGCUGUCGACGUCGACAAUUACUCCACCAAAUCCAACGGCCUUGCCUUCUUAGACCACGACGGGCACAGAUGCGAAAAGGCCGACGACGUUGUUGUUAUCUCCUCCUCCGGCGAUGAGGAGUCAGCUGCUGACAACGGCGCCACGGACUCCAAUAGUGGCAAAUUGUUUGUCUCCGUCGACUCAAAUUCAAUAAGCAAGAAGAAGCGGGGGCCAAGGCCCCAGUACAACUACUGGCCCUUCAACGACGAGUGCCAAAUAAUUGAUGUCGAUGGGAUGCUCCGAAGGAAGAAGAAAUACAAAGGCGGGGACGUACCGGUGCCGGCGCUCAUACAGAAGUUAAAAAAGGGCCCGUCACCCAUCAUCUACCGUGGUGAACUUAGUGUGUCCCGUGUUCGCGGGAAACGGAGACAUUUGACGAAUAAGUUUCGUGAGGCGGUAAAGAUGGGCGACAACUACAAACCACUCAACAUGCGUGAUCAAGACCUCUACGACCGUUCCAUUGCGGCGUGGCCACAUAUCAUUGAAGAAGAAGCUAGUACCAUGCACGAUCACGAAUAA